CACGGGGGGAGCAAGCGUUGUCCGGAAUCAUUGGGCGUAAAGCGCGCGUAGGUGGCCUCGUAAGUCCGCUGUGAAAGUCAAAGGCUCAACCUUUGAAAGCCGGUGGAUACUGUGAGGCUAGAGUACGGAAGAGGCGAGUGGAAUUCCUGGUGUAGAGGUGAAAUUCGUAGAUAUCGGGAGGAACACCAGUGGCGAAGGCGGCUCACUGGACAGGUCCUGACACUGAGACGCGAAAGCGUGGGUAGCAAACAGG
rnacentral:rRNA from 1 species